AUGCCCUUGUCCCACGCCGCGUUCAAUCCCCACACAAAUCCUGGGCUUCUUUCUCCCAAUCCGCGCAGCCGCCGCGCCCGGCACCCCUCUCUCCUCCCGGAAGCCUCCGUCUGCGAGGUCAUACCACUGCCGGGGUGUCGCGCAAGAGGUCAGGGUCCCGCCGCCACCGCGAGCCAUGGGACGCCCGUUGGUGAGCCCCCGUGCGGGGAGCACAGCCGACGGGGAGCACGGUGUCAACAAGCCACGAUGAGGUAGAGUUUUCUCACUAGGGUGGAGGAGCAGGGGAGGGCCGGGAGGCCGCCGGUCGGGGAGCAGCGAGCCCCGAGCUCUAGGCGCCGCACGCAUUGCGGGACGGAGAAGAGGUCGGCGUGGGGCGCAAGGAGCAGCAGGGGAAGAAUGGUGGGGCUUUCAUCUCCUCUCUCGUCGCCACUCCUGCUACCUCGCCCCUGGUACUCGCUCGGCCGGCGUAUGGGCGGCGGCUGGGACGUUGGCCCUCGGCACAAACUCGACGCCCGAAUCUAGCUGACGAGCCCCGUGGGCCGUGGUUGGUUUCUCCUCCUACCUCCAGAUCCCCUCUUGCUCACUCUCUUCUCCCCAUAUUUCCAUCUGUUGUUUGCGUUCCUUCAGUUUGCAGGUAUUGUGGGAAGCAAAUGUACGUGGGUGAGUUAUUUAUUUUGUGUGAAGGUCUCUUCCAUGCUGGUCUAUCUAUUCCUUGACGCUCUCUGUUCAUGACUGACACUGUUCUUGUUUUAUCUUUUUUACCUUUGCACGGAGCUGUUCUAAUCUCUCCCUCGAGUUAAGUUUGCUGGGCAAUGGCUUACUCCUAUCAUGUUUUUUUAGUUUGACCGAGGUGUACCUGGACGAACAAGGAACGUCCCAGCCACUGGCACCCUACUUUGUUUUCUGAUUUUUUUGGUCUUUGAGUUGAUUUGGUUGUGUGGCUGUGCUAGCGAUCCAGGUGGGUUGGGUUGCUGUUUGGUUGGAGAUGUUGGUGCUGUUUGAGACGCCCACUGGGUUCUCCGUUUUCCAGGUUCUGAAUGAGGGCAAGCUCGACAAGACCGAGGAUCUAUGGAAGGAGUUCACCACGUCAGAACUCCGCGAGAAAGGUUUCUGCUUAAUUUCUUAUUCUUUUGCCCGCAAAAUAGCUGCUCUUUUCCAAACACAUAGUGAAUGAUCUAUCUAUCCCAUUAUAAUAGUGCAAGUCAGCAAAAGCCCUUUAUCUGAAUGAGCAAGAAUCUGUGGUGUGCCCCAGAGCUAUAUGUCCCGUCUCCAAAUGUUUAAAAAGGUUAUUUGUAUGGAUAUUAUCUUGAUGAUAAAGAAGGACCACAAGAUGAUGCAGAUGAACAUGUCUGCUGCCAGUACUGGCGUUUUUGUUUAUGCACUGAUGAUUAUAAUUCCAUAAUUUGUAAUGAUUUUGUGCUUAUGUACAGAAGAUUGACAAUAAUGAUUUUCUGCGUGACAUUGCUACUAGAAAGUGUGAUGCAUAUAUUGUAUGCGUUUAUGUACUGAAGAUUAAGUUUUCUGAAUUUAUAUGAAUAGUCGGAUGUUAGUGCUGUGCA